AGAGUUUGAUCAUGGCUCAGGACGAACGCUGGCGGCGUGCUUAACACAUGCAAGUCGAACGGUAAGGCCCUUUUGGGGGUACACGAGUGGCGAACGGGUGAGUAACACGUGGGUGACCUGCCCUUCACUUUGGGAUAAGCCUGGGAAACUGGGUCUAAUACCGAAUAUGACCUGUGACUGCAUGGUUAUGGGUGGAAAGCCAGUUACUUUUUGUUUCUGGCGGUGGGGGAUGGGCCCGCGGCCUAUCAGCUUGUUGGUGGGGUGAUGGCCUACCAAGGCUUCGACGGGUAGCCGGCCUGAGAGGGCGUCCGGCCACACUGGGACUGAGACACGGCCCAGACUCCUACGGGAGGCAGCAGUGGGGAAUAUUGCGCAAUGGGCGGAAGCCUGACGCAGCGACGCCGCGUGGGGGAUGACGGCCUUCGGGUUGUAAACCUCUUUCGGCCCCGACGAAGCGGAAGUGACGGUAGGGGUGGAAGAAGCACCGGCCAACUACGUGCCAGCAGCCGCGGUA
rnacentral:rRNA from 1 species